GACGAACGCUGGCGGCGUGCUUAACACAUGCAAGUCGAACGGAAAGGCCCUGCUUUUGUGGGGUGCUCGAGUGGCGAACGGGUGAGUAACACGUGAGUAACCUGCCCUUGACUUUGGGAUAACUUCAGGAAACUGGGGCUAAUACCGGAUAGGAGCUCCUGCUGCAUGGUGGGGGUUGGAAAGUUUCGGCGGUUGGGGAUGGACUCGCGGCUUAUCAGCUUGUUGGUGGGGGAGUGGCUUACCAAGGCUUUGACGGGUAGCCGGCCUGAGAGGGUGACCGGCGACAUUGGGACUGAGAUACGGACCAGACUCCUACGGGAGGCAGCAGUGGGGAAUAUUGCACAAUGGGCGGAAGCCGGAUGCAGCAACGCCGCGUGCGGGAUGACGGCCUUCGGGUUGUAAACCGCCUUCGCCUGUGACGAAGCGUGAGUGACGGUAAUGGGUAAAGAAGCACCGGCUAACUACGUG
rnacentral:rRNA from 1 species